AGAGCUCCUCAGCCUUUUGGGGAAGCUCAAGUGUAGUGUGUUCUUACCAGUUUCUUAUCUGAUAGGUGUCUGCAAGGGUUCACUGUUCAACAGCACCGUGGAGACAGGAGGUGCUUUGGGAGCUUGCUGCAGCCACUUCUCACAUGGCCCUGGUACAGCAAUACCUUCUGUUAGCUCUGCCUUCCC
ensembl:snRNA U2 U2 spliceosomal RNA